GUCCACGCCGUAAACGAUGUCAACUAGUUGUUGGUCUUAUAAAGAAGAUUAGUGACGCAGCUAACGCGAUAAGUUGACCGCCUGGGGAGUACGGUCGCAAGACUAAAACUCAAAUGAAUUGACGGGGGCCCGCACAAGCGGUGGAGCAUGUGGUUUAAUUCGAUGCAACGCGAAGAACCUUACCAGGUCUUGACAUCCAGAGAAUCUUUUAGAGAUAGAAGAGUGCCUUCGGGAAUUCUGAGA
rnacentral:rRNA from 1 species